rnacentral:rRNA from 1 species
ACUUACGGCCACACCACCCUGAGCCCGCCGAUCUCGUCUGAUAUCGGUAGCUAAGCAGAGUCGGCUUGGUUAGUACUUGGAUGGGAGACAGCCUGGGAAUACCAGGUGCUGUAAGCU